UCCAGUGGAAGCCAACAGAGUAAUUGGCAAGUGUGUGUGAACUUCCAUUCGUCUAUGGCUACACAGGAUUCCAGUCUCAUGAUUGCCUGCUCUUAGCCUUGGAGUGUAUUCAAAUUUUCACUGAUUUCAUGGCUGCCACUCUUUCUUCUAUGCUUUGCUAGAGAUCUUUCUACUCGAUUUUCAUGUAAAUACGUUGCAGUGAUUCAGUGAAUCAUUUGCCUGGUGCUUCUUUUGUCUGUUGGAAUCUUAGCCAUGAAGUUUAAUUUAAAAUUGACCUUUCUGAAUUAUCUUCAGUGACUCAGAAGUCAUUCCAAGCAAAAGAAUGUUCAGAAAAUAUCUCCUCCAACAAGAAAGCAAACAAAACAGGAACAAGAACAGAAAGCUGAAGAAGAAAGAAUUUAUAUGGAAAACAUUCUGAGUGGAAACCCUCUCCUUAACUUGCAGGCCCAUCCCAGCCUCAGGCCAAUUUCAAAGUUAAAAGAAGGUGGGAUGAUGAUGUUGUUUUCAAGAACUGUGCAAAAGGUGUAGAUGAUCAGAAGACAAAAGAUUUGUAAAUGAUACACUGCGAUCAGAAUUUCACAAAAAGUUCAU